GAUGACAUAAAUUUAGCUGCAAUUGGUCCAAAAUUUGAACAUCGUGAGAUGUUUCCAGCACGAACAAAUACAGAAUUUGUGCAAGUCUUCUCCAAUUCACACCUUAAAAUGCGCGUGUGGGAGCGUGGUGCAGAUGCAACACUUGCUUGUGGAACCGGAGCCUGUACGGUCGUUCUUGCAGCAGUUCUUGAAG